rnacentral:lncRNA from 1 species
GAGAUGGUUUUCGAGGUGGGGGGAGCGCAUGAUGAAUGCUGCUGUUCAAGGCAUCAGGAAGCGGCGAGAAGAUGAGGACCUCAGCUAGGCUCCAGGGUGGUCACGGAGUCCUGCCUCCUGCUUUGUCCUGUCCCCCGCCCUGCUUACUGGCAGUCAUGUGCUUAUUAUCUAGUUAUCCUUCCCACUUGCGGUCUUCAACAUGCCUUACAAUACUUCAGCCUAGACUAUUAGAUACGAACGUGUGGGCCAGACAGACGCGACCUGCCUCGGAGGGGGCCAUCGACCGCUCCACUUGGGAAGGUGCCCCCACAGGUGAUCAGCUGGUAUUUGAAACGUGAUUCGAAGGGGCACUCUGCACAGGUAGCUACCGCAGGGCCUUAGCUGUCUUUACCAACAGUCAAAACCAGGGGUUUUUGUCAUCGGCAUAACACAUCAGGUAAAUCACCUUCCAUUCUCCCCCCUCCCGCCCAUCCCAGGGUGUGGGGAUUGGCCUGCAGUGUUAAACCAACACGUCCCCACUGUGUGAGCCGGCGGAAGGAUAUACAGGGGGUCCAACGGUCUAUGCCCUUCAGAAUGAUGCCCCGGGACUGAUGUGAACCAGCCCAGCCCAGCCGGUUCUUCAGAGGAUCCUUGCUGCCAGUGUCAGAGGCUUGAACAUUUGUCACAUUGACCUUGAGUGCCAUCAGCCCUUCAUGCAAGUGGGAUCGAAGCACCUUAAAAGCGUGAUGGCUGAGACUUCCUCAUGUCCACGGAACAGGAGAUCAUUUUUGUGCCAGUUUGCUAAUAAAUGUAUGUG